AGGCUUGCCUCUUCUCUUCCCAUGUCUUUUGAGUACCUUCGUUUCCUCGGCGGGUCCGCCCGCCGAUUGGACAAAUUUAAACCCUUUGCAGUUGCAAUCAGCGUCUGAAAAAACAUAAUAGUUACAACUUUCAACAACGGAUCUCUUGGUUCUGGCAUCGAUGAAGAACGCAGCGAAAUGCGAUAAGUAGUGUGAAUUGCAGAAUUCAGUGAAUCAUCGAAUCUUUGAACGCACAUUGCGCCCCUUGGUAUUCCAUGGGGCAUGCCUGUUCGAGCGUCAUUUGUACCUUCAAGCUCUGCUUGGUGUUGGGUGUUUGUCUCGCCUUUGCGUGUAGACUCGCCUCAAAACAAUUGGCAGCCGGCGUAUUGAUUUCGGAGCGCAGUACAUCUCGCGCUUUGCACUCAUAACGACGACGUCCAAAAAGUACAUUUUUACACUCUUGACCUCGGAUCAGGUAGGGAUACCCGCUGAACUUAAGCAUAUCAAAAGCCGGAGGAAA
rnacentral:rRNA from 1 species